rnacentral:rRNA from 1 species
GACGAACGCUGGCGGCGUGCCUAAUACAUGCAAGUCGAGCGGACUUUCAAGAAGCUUGCUUUUUGAAAGUUAGCGGCGGACGGGUGAAUAACACGUGGGCAACCUGCCUGUAAGACGGGGAUAACUCCGGGAAACCGGGGCUAAUACCGGAUAAUAUCUUUCUUCGCAUGAAGGAAGGUUGAAAGGCGGCGCAAGCUGCCGCUUGCAGAUGGGCCCGCGGCGCAUUAGCUAGUUGGUGAGGUAACGGCUCACCAAGGCGACGAUGCGUAGCCGACCUGAGAGGGGGAUCGGCCACACUGGGGCUGAGACACGGCCCAGACUCCUACGGGAGGCAGCAGUAGGGAAUCUUCCGCAAUGGACGAAAGUCUGACGGAGCAACGCCGCGUGAGCGAAGAAGGUCUUCGGAUCGUAAAGCUCUGUUGUCAGGGAAGAACAAGUACCGUUCGAAUAGGGCGGUACCUUGACGGUACCUGACCAGAAAGCCACGGCUAACUACGUGCCAGCCGCCGCAGUAA